ACGUGCUACAAUGGGUGGUACAAAGAGCAGCUAACUCGCGAGAGUAGUGCAAAUCUCAAAAAGCCAUCCUCAGUUCGGAUUGGAGUCUGCAACUCGACUCCAUGAAGUUGGAAUCGCUAGUAAUCGCGGAUCAGCAUGCCGCGGUGAAUACGUUCCCGGGCCUU
rnacentral:rRNA from 1 species